UGAAUAAUGUGUCUCUAUCAACGAAAC
rnacentral:misc_RNA from 1 species